GACGAACGCUGGAGGCGUGCUUAACACAUGCAAGUCGAGCGGAGCGGCGAACGGGUGGGUAACGCGUGAGUAACUGCCCCCCUCUCUGGGAUAACAGAUGGAAACGGCUGCUAAUACCGGCUAGUGGGGGAUGACUCGCGCCCUAUCAGCUUGUGUGUGGGGUAGUGGCAUACCAAGGCGACGACGGGUAGCCGGCCUGAGAGGGCGACCGGCCACAUUGGGCUUAGAUACGGCCCAAACUCCUAUGGGAGGCAGCAGUGGGGAAUAUUGCACAAUGGGGGAAACCCGGAGGCAUCAACGCCGCGUGCGGGAUGACGGCCAUCUGGUUGUAAACCGCUUUCAGCCAUGACGCGGUAGUGGCAGAAGAAGCACCGGCUAACUACGUGCCAGCAGCCGCGGUAAUUC
rnacentral:rRNA from 1 species